GAUCGCACGAGGUUAGAGCCCAUCCUUAGGGGUGCGUGCUCGGCUUCUGCUUCCUAUCUUCUGGUAACGCCAGAUCCCUCUUCGCGGGGGGGUUUGGAGGUUCCGGAUCGUUUACUUUGAAAAAAUUAGAGUGUUCAAAGCAGGCGUAACUUGCAUUCGAAUACAUUAGCAUGGGAUAAUAGAAUACGACUUUGGUCUUAUUUUGUUGGUUUCUAAGGCCGAAGUA
rnacentral:rRNA from 1 species